rnacentral:rRNA from 1 species
CACACUGUGCUUGCACACCGUGUUUUCUUGAGUCGCGAACGGGUGAGUAACGCGUAGGUAACCUGCCUAUUAGCGGGGGAUAACUAUUGGAAACGAUAGCUAAUACCGCAUAAUAUUAAUUAUUGCAUGAUAAUUGAUUGAAAGAUGCAAGCGCAUCACUAGUAGAUGGACCUGCGUUGUAUUAGCUAGUUGGUAAGGUAAGAGCUUACCAAGGCGACGAUACAUAGCCGACCUGAGAGGGUGAUCGGCCACACUGGGACUGAGACACGGCCCAGACUCCUACGGGAGGCAGCAGUAGGGAAUCUUCGGCAAUGGACGAAAGUCUGACCGAGCAACGCCGCGUGAGUGAAGAAGGUUUUCGGAUCGUAAAGCUCUGUUGUAAGUCAAGAACGUGUGUGAGAGUGGAAAGUUCACACAGUGACGGUAGCUUACCAGAAAGGGACGGCUAACUACGUGCCAGCAGCCGCGGUAAUACGUAGGUCCCGAGCGUUGUCCGGAUUUAUUGGGCGUAAAGGGAGCGCAGGCGGUCAGGAAAGUCUGGAGUAAAAGGCUAUGGCUCAACCAUAGUGUGCUCUGGAAACUGUCUGACUUGAGUGCAGAAGGGGAGAGUGGAAUUCCAUGUGUAGCGG